rnacentral:lncRNA from 1 species
UUUAUGAUGGCUUUAUCGCAUUUCUUAACCAUGCAAUAAAAAACUAUUUCAUUCCCUCUAAUGCGAAAAAACUCUUUAUUUGUGCUCACACUGCUAAUGAGCUACUUGAUAUGUUACAAGCUUAUCGACCGGAGCCAGACCCCUGGACCUUUGUGUUGGAGCGUCCAAAUAAUGAUGGUAACAGUAGCCGCAGUAAGAAGUACAAAUUAGAUUUAACUCUCCGCCUAUAAAUAUUUUCUUCUGUGUUGCACCACCCAGGUGAUGUCUUCUAAACUCUACUUCUUUCAUUUCAAACAUUGAGGACAAUGUUUCGUUCUGGUUGGGGGGAGGGAAUAGUCGACAAUUGUGGAAUUUUGGUUACGUUUUUACUAAUUUUUUGUUGUAGAAACUAACUGUUGCUAACUUUUUGUGUUGAAGAUGGCUGAAUAUGGAGUGUAGUUACUCUAGAAACGCAUCUUCAUUGUUUGAAAAAAAAAUUCAAAAAAAAAAAAUUCAGACAUUUUCUUUUUCUUUAUUAUGUGUUUAUGUUUAUUUUUCUUCUUUAAUUUCUCCUCUAUAAAUAUACAUUUUCCAACUUUUGAGUCGAAGAUGGCUGAAUAUGGAGUGUAGUUCCUCUAGAAACGCAUCUUCUUUUAAAAAAAAAAAUCAUUUUCGUUUUCUAUCAUUUUACGUGUAACUUUUCUAAUUAGUUUUUAUACAUCAUUUUCACAUUUCUGCAUACAUAUUUUUCUUUCAUGUUUAGAAUAGGUUGGGGGGUAGAAUGAUGUUUAAAAAAAAAAUGUGUGAUUUGUUUUAACAUUGGAUGACAUGAUUAAUUUCAAAUUUUAGUAUUUGUAUUAUCUUUGGUCUUAAGUGAUGUUACGCUAUGUUUGCUACUUUACAUGUUGAUGUCGGAGACAAAUGUGAGUUGCUUGAAGGAAUGAACAUGUCAUAAUAAGUACCAAGUGAGUUUUUGAGCCUAUUAUUUUUCUUGGAGAAUAACCCUUUUGCCCACUCUUUAUACAGCUUAGCAGUUUAUUAUUUUAUACACGAUCUCUAAAUUACUUUUGAGUUAACCCUUAAAAAAAAAUUGUAAAAUAAAAAAAAAGAGAAAAAAGAAAAAGAAAAAAGAGUGUGUUGCUACAUUUGGAGGCCCAUCUAACUAGUAGAUAUGGAAGAUUAUUUAGAGCCCUAAAAGACGAUGGAGAGGCCAUCUUUGAUCCGUUUGAGCCUUUCAAGCCAUCCCUUUUAUUUAAUAUCCAUAGUUAACCCUUUUGAGCCUUUAAAAAAAAAAAAAAACUUUUCUUUCUCAACUUAUCAUCUUGACCCACUCCGAUUUGGAGUAUUACCCGAUAUCUUAUAAGUUCCAUCACCUAUUUAUGUUUGAGAAAAUGUAAAUAAUUAUUUUGUUCAGUGAAGUUAUGCCAAAUAAAAGCAAAAAAAACAAAAAAACAAAAACAAAAACAAAAGUUGUUGUUUCAAAAGAAUAAAAAUAGGUGAAAUCCACCUUGCAACUUCCAAAAAAAAAUUCUCUGCAUUUUUCUCAAACAUACUCAAACAUACACUUUGUUUUCCUUAUUUUCCUUCUUUGUUAGCCAUGUCCCUAGCCUACGUUUCGCCCUAAUAAAAGUCCUUGGGAACUAUAGUUUGAAGUAGAAGCUAGUUAUAUGGGCUAAAAAGAUGUAGUGAUGCAUAAUUAAAAAAAAAAAAAGAUAAAUAAAGUGGGUUGACUAACAUUUUAUUUGACUUGAGAUCGUAUUAUUUCUAAGCUGAGGGCAUAUUUAUUUCAUCUUGGUGAGAGCAUGUGAUAUCACUUCUUUAUUAUUUUCUCUCUCAAUUACCAUUCAUUGGAGUGACUAUUUUUAUUGGGAUUAAUUUAUUUGUGAGAGUGUCACUACUUCCAGUGAGAUUUUGGGGUUUGACAUGUCAUUCUUGAGAGUAGGUAAAACAAAGUCUACUGGGCUAAUUCAUGUGGAUGGUUGAUGUGGGUGUGAUGUUGCUUUAGACUGGAGAUAAUGCUUAUACUUUUAUUUGAUUGCUAUCAUUAAUAUGAUGGAAUAAAUACGAGUGUUUCUAUUAAAACAAAAAAAAAUAUUUUGAAUUUGAAUUUUGUUUUCGCUUUAUUUGCUAGGGACUAGCAAUAAGCUGGUUGGGGGGUGUGUUGAGUGUUAGAAAAUGCAUAUUUAUAAAGGAGAAAACCGUCAUUUUACAUUUUAAGUCUUACUAACAACCCUUACUUUUAUAUAUUUAACCUUCUUGUGAUUUAAUUACAUGUGUUUUAUUUUAAUUAAGUAUUUUAUGUAUUUUAGGGGCAUUAUAGUCAUUUCACAAUAAAGGAGAGAUCAGACGGCAAAACGGACAUCACUUUUGAACUCAGGACGGUCGAAAACCUUAGGAGGAGCAUAAAAGGAAAAAUGGCACUAUUCACAUGUACGGUACUAUUCACGUGUACGGUACUGUAUACGUUACUGUUCACGACACUGUUCACAUAGACGGAUGAUGACGUGGCAUUGACCGAUGAUGUGGCAUUGACUGAUGAGGUGUCACGAUCCUGUUGGACUAAAAUUCUUAUGUACUGUUGAUGGUGACGUGGCAGCAUAUCAGUAGACGAAAAAUCCGCGUACGGUGCAUGCAUCACACAUGAUUAUUUUCAACCAAACCGCGUUACUGUUCAUCCGGGUCAAACCGUGUUACUGUUCAUCCGCGUGGUCAAACCGUGGAUUGUUGACUGAUGACGUGGCGCAAUCCUGAGCGUCCAAACUGUUUUUAAUCCGAUGGCCAUGAUUUACUCUAUGUAUCUAUAAAAAGGGGGCCUCCCCCCCCUAAUUUGAUAUCUCUGAAUCCAUUUUUGGACUCUGUUUUCUGUAAUUCCCUCUCCAUCUUGUAUUUUCUUCGUAUUUUAAUAAAUUCCUAUUUUGCCCCUAGUUCAAUUAUGAGUGGCUAAUUUUCUUUCAAGCUUGGGUUGAAGGUGAAGUCUCAACAUGUGUCAUGGGCUUAAUUUGGUAAAUUUAUUUUCUCUUCCCCUCUAGUUUUUGUGGAUGUUUUGACUUCUCGUCGACAAAUAAUACUAAUCUUGUCUAGUACCGCCUUGGUUUCACCGGCCCUCUAGUAUAAGGUUAUUAUUAUUUGGCACGAUAAGCCCUUAGCACCAUAUUGAUUAGAGCGUGGUUCAUGAGGUGUGGAUUCCCCCCUCAUGAUUUAAUUGGCAUUAAUAAGGAAUAUUUAGCCCAUGAUGCAUGUUGAUGCGGAUCCGAAUACCCAAGUACGUCAUUUCAAUAGAAUUAUCUUCAGUCUAUUCUCGCCAUUGCAAGUCAAAUUUUAGAAUUUAUUAUCGCCAUUUCAAUUCCAAUUUUAGAAUAAUUUAAAUCACUUCCACCACAAUUCCAACCACCCAUUUACAAAAUUAAUUCUACAUAUAAUUAAAAUCCACCUCCUCGUGGGAUCGACACUCGUCACCAUUGAUCUACACUACAAUAGAUUCGUGCGCUUGCGAGUACAUUAAAAUUUGCACAACAGUGGACAAUUUCCUGAUGUACAAAAGCAUUAUCACACAGUCUACAAAGAGAUCUUAGCCGUGAAAAAUGGUAUCAAGAAAUUUGAAUUCCAUUUGAUUGGUCAUAGAUUCUUGAUCAGAAUAGAUAAUUCAGCUUUUCCCAAUAUCUUGAACUUUAAGUAGAAGGCUGUUCCAAAAAAGACCUUACUUUGGCUUAAAGAAUGGUUUUCGAGAUAUGGCUACCAUGUCCAGCAUAUAAAAGGAGAUCAUAACCUCAUCCCAAAUUUACUAUCCAGACCUCCAAAACCAAAACCUUCCCAGUUCUUCUGUAUCACUUCUUAGAUUUCUUUCUCGAUCAUUGCGAUGGCUAGUUCAUUUCCUAAAACAGCUCUCACCCAAAAGUCUUUCCUACUCAACAUGACUUUUCAAUCACCUCACCAAAUCCAAGAUUUUGCCAGAAAAUUCCUCUUUAGGUUUUUUUAUGAACAUCUAUACGAAGAGUAAAGAACUUAUGUUUUUUCCAGUUUUCAUCCUGAUCAUCUUUUCCUUACUGGAUUAGUAAUUACACCCCACAGGGAUAUUAUCGAAGAUGAACUUUGGUAUACAUGGUGUCUUACUGUUCUAUAUGCCACAAAAAUAGUUUUCCCAGUCUUACCCCUUCUCUCCAAGCUCAAUGAUCUAGAGUUUUCUACCUCUCUUACCUGAACUCUUUUUGAAUGGUUUUCACCAUUAUCAUGGUGGCGCAGAAAGCUACAACAGAUUGCUGACACGCACCAUUUUCUAGAACUCCCAGACCAAGAAGGAAAACAUUUCACCUCUGUUUUUAUCGUCCACCGUCCAUAUUUCCAACAUCCUCAUACCAAGGAUUUUUGGACACAAAAUCAGAGUUAUGAAUGGACCACUGUUCCUCACAUUGUCUGUCUUGAAUAAGAUUUUCACAUCAAGACUUCCUUAAAAAAAUUUCUCAUGGAACUCAACCACAUUCCUCCAGACCAACCAGAUAUCCUCUACACAUCUCUUGGACCAAAACAUGAAAUGUUCAUGAUCCCUACACCAUCCUUACAUUCCCAACCUCCUAACCGUGGAAUCAUCAUAAAAUAAGAAAAGCCAGAUUACACUGACUUCUUAUUCCAAGAUUCCCAAGAUCCUUAUGAGGAUUUUACCCUGGUACCUUCACCAUUACCAUAUGAACUUGGAUAAUCCUCUUCUCCAUAUCCACCAUUUUCCUCUCAGCCUGAUCAGCCUGAACAUUAUCCUCAACUAGUUCCUUCAUCUCCACAAGAUAUUCCUCCAGUAAAAGGAUAAUAUUGCCCUUGGCCAUGUGUUUUAGGAUGUUCUCAUCCAGAGAGAAUCUUCAAGAAAGAUAAGAACCCUGAUCAUGACCCUGACGAGACUGAAUCAUCAUCAGAAGAUGGCUUCAUAUCUCUUUAAGAUAUUUGUCAUCUUGUAAUAAUGAGUGUCUUUAGCUUUUGCUUUCAGCUUUUACUUUUAACUUUUUAAAGUUGUUUGCCAUUUUGUAAUAAGUGUAUGCUUUAGCUUUAUGCUUUAGUUGUUUGUCCUUAUGUAAUCAUGCACUUUACUUUUGUAAAAUAUGUGUGCAUGUAUGCUAGCUGGAAGAAUCUUGAUCCAGCUUUUUACUCCUCCUUAUCCUUAUAUAAGGAGAGUUAUUUUGAAUAAACAUUAGAGGAGUUUUGAGAUAACUUUCCAAGUUUCAAUAUUCCACCCCAUGUAUAACUAAAACUUUCGUUUCUAUUUUUUUAAUCUAAAGAUUCUUUAGGUUUAGAACUCUUACCCUUGUUCAAAUGUCUAUCUUCUAUAAGUAUGCUCUGCACUUGCCUUGAAAAAGGAUCCUGUGCAUCAGAAAGCUAGUCAGGCUCUUAUUCUUUCUUUGUUCUGAGAUAAUAGACGGAACCCUGCCUUUAGACUAAGUGACCAAGGAGAGUAUGUGUCUUUUUAGGUUGUCUAUGUUCUUAGUUCAUCAUAAGAAUGGAAUGUCUGGUAUCUCGUGUUAGCCUAAAGGGCUAUACAUAAUGUAAUUUUGAUGAUAACAAACAUAUGUAUUAAGUGAUUUAAUAAAUAUUGUAUUUCACAUUUUCACUAGUUUUUUAAGGAUAAUAUUUAUGCAAGUGAAUCAAGUGAAAUCAAGAUUGAAGACACUCAACGGACAACGGCGACAUCAAGAAUAUAGUUUAGAGCUCAACGAACAAAUUAGUGCAAUAAAUUCUUGUAAAGCCGGUAUGAUUUAAUUGAUGCAUGAUUUAGCAUUUGAGAAGCUCAAGAGAUUAAUUUAAUUAAAUACUUUUCAUAAACUAAAAGGUUUUAUUUUUAUAAAGUAAAGUAUUUUGUGGAUUUAAGUAAUUUGGACUUAAAUGCUAAGAUUUUAAAUCUUUGAUUUUAAAUAAGUAUUAAAUUUCGGAGUUGGACGUUUUUAUAAACAUUUGAAAUGUUUUGGGCCAUACUAUAAUUUAUGAAUAUUUUGGACAAAAGUGAAAGGUUUUGAGAACUUUGAAAAAUAUGAGUAUUAUGUUGAAAAUGACCUUUGUGCGUAAUAAUAAAAUCUUUGGGCCAUAGCAUAAUUUCAUAAAUUUUGGGAAAGACAACUACUCUUAGGAAGUUCUGAAAUUGGACCUAUUUGUAAAGUUUUAAGACGUUUUGGGCUAUAGUAUAAUUAUAAAAAGUUUUGGGCCAAAAUAUAAUUUUAGUGAACAGUGUUACUGUAGCAAAUUAAAAAAUAACGGUAAUAUCACUGUUCCUGAGUGGCUAGCUGGAUAAUCAAGCGGCUAACCGCUUGAGUGCUGGAAUUUGCCUAUAACGGCUAGGUUUUGGGCUUUCACUAUAAAAACUCAACUGAAACUUCAUUUUAAGAACCAAUGCACACAAAUAUAAGAUCAUACAACAUAUAUUGAGCUUCCAAAAUUCAAAUCAUCAUUGAUUGAAUCAUUGUUGAGCUAUUAGUUGCAUAUCCACUCUUAAAGAGAGUUUUUGUUGUAAUUUUCAUUUCUUAUCAAAUUGUGAGUGUGUAAGUGUGGGAAAUACUUGGGGUGAAGAGAUUGGGAGAUAAUCUUUUGGUUCUAAAGGUUCAUUGACACCUUGGAAGUCAAUUGUAAAAACUUGAAGCCUUGGGAGGCUUGGAUAGUGAAAUCCUCGAGCUUGGUUGGCUUGGAGGCGUGGACGUAGGCGGGGAUUGCCGAACCACGUAAAAAUCCGCGUGUUUCUUUUUCUCUUCCCUUGCUCUUUUAUUUUUAUGCUUGUUUGAAUUUAUUGUUCUAUAUUUCAUUAAGGCGUUAGAUUGAUUUAUUGUACGAAUCGUAUUGCAUUAUUUUUAAAAACUCAAUUCACCCCCCCUCUUGGGUUGCGUUACUUGCAUUUCAUUUGGUAUCAGAGCUUGGUUCUCUUGUUAGGACUUAACCGUCUAGAGUAAAAGAUCCAUGGCAACCCAAAAUGAUUCAACCUUUAGGGAAGGACAAUACACAACUAGGCCACCAUUUUUUGACGGAAAUGACUACCCGUAUUGGAAAACUAGGAUGAGAAUUUAUUUACAAGCACUAGAUUAUGAAAUUUGGGAAGUUGUAUGUGAUGGUCCAUUUAUGCCUUCAACUAAAAAUGAAUUCGGGGAAGACAUUCCAAAACCUUCACGGGAAUUGAAUGAAUUGGAAAAGAGAAAAGCUUCUCUAAAUUCCAAAGCCAUGAAUGCCUUGUUUUGUGCACUCGAUAAGAAAGAGUUUCAUAGAGUGUCUAGUUGUGAAAGUGCUAAUGAAAUUUGGCACAAACUUGAAGUUGUUUAUGAAGGCACGAAUCAAGUGAAAGAGUCUAAGAUUAGUAGGUACACUCGGCAAUAUGAAUUGUUCCAAAUGGAACAAAAUGAGAGUGUAUAUUCUAUGUAUACUAGAUUUACGGACAAAGUAAACACUCUAGGAGCCCUAGGAAAGACCUUUUCAAAUAGCGAAAAAGUUAAGAAAAUCAUUAGAUCAUUACCUAAGAAAUGGAGACAAAAAAGGACUGUCAUUGAGGAAGUUAAAGAUUUGAAUAUCUUACCUAUUGAUGAUUUAAUUGGUUCUCUUAUUUCUUAUGAGGAAAAAAAGAAAGACAUUGCUCUCAAAGCCACAAAAUAUGAGAGUGAUGGGGAAGUGAGCCGGAUGAUGAGGAGUUGGCUAUGCUAGCAAGGAGGUUCAGAAAAUUUUUCAAGAAAACCGGUGACCGAAGGAAAUUUAGAAACUUCAAAAACCAAAAGGAGAAGAAAGAGGUAAUCAUAUGUUAUGAAUGCAAAAAGCCCGGCCAUAUAAGAUCGGAAUGCCCACUUCUCAACAAACACAAGAAGAAAGCUAUGGUUGCUACUUGGGAUGAUAGCGAUGAAGAUUCAAGUGAUGAAGAAGAGUCGCAAGAAGUAUCAAACCUAGCACUUGUGGCACUAGGAAAUGAUGAUGAUCUCAAUGAGGUAAGUGAUCCAACUUAUGAUGAAUUGUAUGAUGCUUUUAAAGAAAUGCAUGAUGAGUUGAUGAAAAUUGGUAAAAAGAAUGCAUGCCUUAAAAAGAAAUUGAUAGAAUUUACAAAUGAAAAGGAUGCCAUGCAAAAAUGCAAUGAGUCAUUGAAUGAGAAGAUUAAAGGAUUAGAAUUAGAUAAUAAAACCUUGCAUAAUAGAGUUGCAUUAUUAAAUGAAAAGCCUAACACUUCACAUGAGCAUUUAGAGUCACAUGUAGAUGAUUUGAAAAAGGAAAAUGAAAUGCUCAAGAAAAAGAAUAUUGAACUUAGUAAUGUUGUUCUAAAAUUUACAAAUGGGCAAAAGAUGUUGGAUAACAUGUUUAAUUCUCAAAAAUGUGUUUUUGAUAAAGGAGGACUUGGGUAUAAGCCUAACUUGAAGUAAAAGUAUUAUAAGAAUUAUUUUGUUAAAGCUACCUCCACAAGUGAUCAUAAGAGUGUUUGUCAUUAUUGUAACCAAAAUGGUCACAUGAAAUAUAGAUGUCUCGUAAAAAAGAAUGCAUAUUAUGGUGUCAAAUGUAUUUGGGUUCCAAAAGGAACCGUUGCUAAUGCUCAAGGACCCAAAAAGGUUUGGGUACCUAAGACAUAAGAUUUUCUUUGCAGGGCUUGAAGAAAAAGAAAAAUAAAUGGUACUUGGAUAGCGGAUGUUCUAGGCAUAUGACCGGAAACUAUGCAUGGUUCUCAAGUUUCACCAAAAUCGAAAAUAGUGGAGAUGUAUCCUUUGGAGAUAACUCAAAAGGAAAAAUUCUCGGAAUUGGAAAAGUUGGUAAAAUUUCUUCAACUCUAAUUGAAAAUGUGUGCUUGGUUGAAAAUUUGAAACACAAUUUGAUUAGCAUUAGUCAACUAUGUGACAAAGGUUAUAAAGUUGUUUUUAUAAAUCAAGAUGUGUUAUUGAGAAUGCAUGUGAUGGGAAAAUUUUGUUUAUGGGAAAUAGAUGUGGCAAUGUUUACACGAUUGAUAUAGAGUGUGCAUCUACUCAUGAUAAAUGUUUUUCGGCAUUGCAUGAUGAUGGUUGGUUAUGGCAUAGAAGACUAGGACAUGCUAGCAUGGAUUUAAUUUCAAAAAUUUUGAAAAACAAUUUAGUUAAAGGUCUUCCAAAAAUUAGUUUUCAAAAGGAUAAAAUUUGUGAAGCAUGUCAAUUUGGAAAACAAAUCAAAACCUCUUUAAAAAACAAGAAUCAUAUUUCUACUUUAAAACCUCUUCAAUUACUUCACAUAGAUUUUCUUGGACCUUCUAGAUAUGCUAGUUUAAGUGGCAAAUUUUAUGCAUUUGUAAUUGUAGAUGAUUAUUCUAGAUACACAUGGGUAUUAUUCUUAGUUAAUAAGGAUGAUGCCAUUGAUGCAUUUAGAAUUUUCUAUAAAAAGGUUCAAAAUGAAAAGGGUUAUUCUAGUACUUGUAUUAGAAGUGAUCAUGGUGGAGAGUUUGAAAAUCAUGCAUUUGAAAAUUUUUGUAAUGAUUUUGGCAUUGAGCAUCAAUUUUCAUCACCUAGGACUCCACAACAAAAUGGAGUUGUUGAGAGAAAGAAUAGGUCUAUUCAAGAAAUGUCCAGGACCAUGUUAAAUGAAAAUGCAUUACCAAAAUAUUUUUGGGCCGAAGCCGUCAACACCGCUUGUUAUGUUUUAAAUCGGGUGUUGAUUAGACCUCAUCUCAAUAAAACUCCCUAUGAGCUUUGGAAAGAUAGAAAACCCAACAUUGGUUAUUUCAAAGUUUUUGGAUGAAAAUGUUUUAUUUUAAACGCAAAAGAUAAUCUUGCUAAAUUUGAUCCAAAAUCUGAUGUUAGCAUCUUUCUCGGGUAUUCAAACUCAAGCAAAGCUUAUAGAGUUUAUAAUAAAAGAACUUUAGUUGUGGAAGAAUCCAUGCAUGUUGCGUUUGAUGAAUCUAACCCCUCCUCUGUGGAGAAAGGAGUUGUUAAUGAUGAUGCAGAUGGAGAGCUACAAGAAGAAUCAUCAAAAGAGAAUCAAGAGAAUUCACCACAAGAAAAUCAAGAGGAUAGACAAGAAGAACAAACAAAUAUGGAGCUGGAACAACAAGAAGGUAGUUCUCAAACACUCCCCAAGGAGUGGAGGUAUGUUUCCUCUCAUCCUAAGGAUUUAAUUUUAGGUGAUCCUUCAAGAGGUAUCACAACUAGAUCAUCACUUAGAAACACAUGUGAGCAUGCUGCAUUUAUUUCUCAAAUUGAACCAAAAUCUUUUGCGGAUGCGGAAAAUGAUGAGUUUUGGAUUAUGGCAAUGCAAGAGGAGUUAAAUCAAUUUGAGAGAAAUAAAGUAUGGGAAUUGGUUCCUAAACCGGAACAUCAAUCCAUUAUAGGCAUUAAAUGGGUAUUUAGAAAUAAAAUGGAUGAAUCCGGUGUGGUUGUAAGAAAUAAAGCUAGAUUAGUGGCUCAAGGAUACAACCAAGAAGAAGGAAUCGAUUUCGAUGAAACAUUUGCACCUGUAGCUAGAUUAGAAUCCAUUAGGAUGUUGUUAGCAUUUCCAUGUCAUAAAGAUUUUAUUUUAUUUCAAAUGGAUGUCAAGAGUGCUUUCCUAAAUAGUUAUAUUACGAAGGAAGUUUAUGUGAAACAACCCCCUGGUUUCGAAAAUGAGAAAUUUCCAAAUCAUGUGUAUAAGUUAUCAAAAGCAUUGUAUGGAUUAAAACAAGCACCUAGAGCAUGGUAUGAUAGGCUUAAAAAUUUCUUGUUGGAUAACGGUUUUUCGAUGGGAAGAGCGGAUACUACCUCUUUAUUAAAAAUAAAAAUCAAGAUAUACUUGUUGUUCAAAUUUAUGUUGAUGAUAUUAUUUUUGGUUCUACUAAUGAAUCUUUGUGCAAAGAAUUUUCCUCUUGUAUGAGUAAGGAAUUUGAGAUGAGCAUGAUGGGAGAAUUGAAGUAUUUUCUUGGACUUCAAAUCAAACAAAACAAUGAGGGGAUCUUCAUCAACCAAGCUAAGUACGUCAAAGACUUGCUCAAGAGAUUUGGUAUUGAUGAAUCAAAUACCAAGAAUACUCCAAUGAGUACAACAAUCAAGCUUGAUAAAGAUGAAAAAGGUAAAGAGGUUGAUAUUAAAAAGUAUCGAGGUAUGAUCGGAUCCUUACUUUACUUAACCGCAAAUAGACCCGAUAUCAUGUUUAGUGUAUGUUUGUGUGCAAGAUUUCAAUCAUGUCCCAAGGAAUCUCAUUUGCUUGCUGUUAAAAGAAUUUUUUGUUAUUUGAGUGGAAUCAUAGAUAUUGGCCUUUGGUAUCCUAGAGGAACUCAUAUAGAUUUAACUUGUUAUUUGGAUGCCGAUUUUGCUGGUCACAAGGUCAAUAGGAAGAGUACUAGUGGAACUUGCCAUUUUCUUGGUCAUUCACUUGUUUCAUGGUUUAGUAAGAAACAAAAUUCGGUGGCACUCUCAACUACUGAAGCGGAAUAUAUUGUCGUAGGUAGUUAUUGUGCACAAGCACUUUGGAUGAAACAAACACUUAGAGACUAUGGUAUUAAUCUUGAACAAAUUCCUAUCAAGUGUGAUAAUACUAGCGCCAUAAAUCUUUCAAAGAAUCCCAUUCAACAUUCUAAAACCAAGCAUAUAGAGAUUAGGCAUCAUUUCUUGAGGAUUAUGUUCAAAAAGGUGAUAUUGCAUUAGAAUUUAUCUCUACGGAAAAAUAACUUGCCGAUAUUUUUACAAAACCCCUUUGCGAAGAACAAUUUUCAAAAAUUCGGCAUGAACUUGGGAUGAUGAAAUUUUCGCAUUAACAUCUCUAUGUAUGUUAUUGAAUCUACUAAAAUUGUUUGCUUGAUGAUUUUUAAUGUUUAUGAAGUGUUUGCGAAUGUUAGAUAUAUGAAGUGUUUGAUUUAUUAAUUUUCGAAUGCUUAUGUGUUUCAUGAAUAUAUGUUUGUUGGAUGGAUUAUUAGUUUGAAUUAAUCAUCUUUUGGAUGUUUAAAAUCUUGAAUCAUGCAUUAAAUUGGCUCUUGAGAUGUUUCGGGAUCACAAAAUGGUCACGAAAUUGAUCGAAACUAGCCGGAAAGCAAGUAGAGUGCAGGUGGACAGCAACCAGGCGGCUAGCCGCCUGUUCCAAGCAGCUAGCCGCUUGGAAAAUUGUCCCAAACCCGAGAGCAAGCGGCUAGCCGCUUGGUCACGAGUUGGGCAUAUUGUUUUUUGCUUCUUCUUCUUCUUUUGUUAAUUUUCUGCACAUGCUCUCUUUUUCACUCAAAACCGUGAGCAACCCAUCCAUUUUCACUUCCAUUUUCUUCCUUUUUCAUCCAUUUUCAUGCCCAAAUCAACCAUUCAAACUAAUACCCAUGCAUUUCAUCUUCAUUAAACCCUUCUCCAUCAUGAUUUCUUCACUUGUUCUUCAUCAUUCCAUCCUCAUUCCAUUCACGCGUGAAUAGUGUUCUCCAUUUUCUUUCUCAAAUUUCUUCAUCUUUCACUCAUUUUCUUGUUAAAAUCAAUCAUCCAACUCAUUAUUCAUCCAUUACUCCUUCAAUUUUCACUCUCAAAACAACAUUUCAUCAACUCUCCACAUAAAACCCAAAAUAAAAAAUUCUCACUCUACCCGUUUCUCUCUCUUCAUUUUCAAGCUUCCUUUUAGCCCAUUUUUAAUUCACUCUACAUCAUAAAUUAGCUUCAUUCAUCUCUAGGAUUAAUUUUCUUGCCUCAAACAAAUCCAUUUCACUAAAUUUUUGUUAAACCCGAAAUUACAUUUUUAAGCUCUUUUUUCUUCCAACAAUGGCGGGUGGUGACAAGUCCAAGGGAAAACACAUGGCCAAGAAGCUUAAGGAUGAUCAUGGAGAUUAUUCGGACUUUAUGUUGAUUCAUUUUCCUCGACUCCAACUUCGGAAACAUUUUCUCGACCAUUUCAAGCCAAGGACGGUAAUUACUCCUUAUUUUGUCAAUCUCAAUAAUAUGAAGAAUUUAGAAAUUUGUGAUAAAUCUCUUAAAGAUUUACUUAUUGCUAUGAGAUGGAAGAACGUGUUGGUCGUUAAUGAUCCUUACUAUGAAAAUUUAGUCAAGGUUUUCUAUUCGAAUAUGGAUACGGAAGUGUCAAAUAGAAUUGUUACUAAUGUUGGGAGAGUUCACAUUGAAUUUGAUGUUGCUUUGCUAAAUUCUAUCCUUGGCACUCCAAAUGAGGGAUUGGAAAUAUAUAGUGCUAGAGCCAAAAUCAAACAACCUUGGUUUUCCCUUGAAAAUGCCGUUCGAAAUAUUUGUCGACGGCAUGAUUUGUCCAUUGCGUUCUGUAACUCACUUUUGAAAUCUCAAACCUUGCCCCUUCAAACUUGAAUCCUUCAUUAUGUUCUUCAUCAUGUGAUUACUCCUAGGGCUGGUCAUGCGGAUGAAGUUAGCCAUUUAGAUGUAGCCAUUUUGGAUUGUAUUCUAGAGGAGAGGGUGCUAAAUAUUGAGUAUAUUAUCUUUCAUCACAUGCUUAGUACUCCCAACUUAGCCAAACGAUCUCUUCCAUAUGCUAGUAUUAUUACCCGAAUUCUAGAGUAUUUCCAUGUCCCUAUAACCGAGCCAAUCUCCUUGAAUUCGAGGGAAUUAGGUGAUGAAUCAAUUGCUAAUUUGGGUUUUUAUUGGAGGGAUGAUCAAUGGCAUAAAGAUGAAAGAAACAAAAAGGUUGGGGACAUUGCUCCUACAGAUCAUCGUUUCUUUAACGAUGUCCGUCCCCCACACUUGCUUCCUAAUCUUAGUGCUCCAUAUCUCUCACGACCUCCACCUUCCGAGGGUCCUUCCCACUCUACUUCAGCUGACUUUGAGGAUCCGUUGCAACAACCGUUAACUAAAGUGGAUUCACUUUCUGAGCGGCAAGACAAACUUCAGUCUAUGCUUGAAGCUUUUCACCUUCAAUCCAUUUCCGAGCGAGAGCGUCUCUUUGCUCAACAGCAGCAGCUUCUUUAUGGCCAGCAGCAACUUUUUGCAGCUCUUGGAUUUCCACCACCAUCCUCUUCAUCACAUCCACCAUCUCCUUAGCACUCUAUUUUAUUUUGUUAUUUGUCACUCUGCACUACAUUUAUUCAUGCCUGGUUGUUUUUCAUUUGCGGAUGAUAUCUUGUCGUUUGAUAGUUGGAUAUGUUAUUUUUAAUUUGUGGAUUAAGGAUGCUUGUUAUUUAAUCUUCAGAUAUGUUAUAUUUGGAUGAUGUUUUCGGAUUGAUUAAUUAUAUGCUUAAUUCUUAUGUGUUGCUUGAUAACUUGGUGGAGUUGUUGGUUUGUUAUACUUGUUAAACCUUAUAUGGAAGUGUUUUUAACCACAUUGUGUAUUUGAGGAUUUGUUCAUUUUUAAGGGAAGACUCUGUCGAAAUUUUUGCUCGCCCAAAAUUGGUAAUAUCUUCAUUGAAUUAUUUUUGGUGAUCUUGUUUCAAAUUGCAUAUAUCUAUUUUUUAAAGCAGGAAAUAAAUAUGAUAAGUUUUGGUUAAAUUUUUCCGUCUUAGCAUACAUUUCUAGUAAUUUUGAUGAUGAAGGGGGAGAAGUCAUGUAUUUUGAAUUUUGAAUAUGAAGACAUGUAAUACAUAUUUUUUAUUUCAAGUAUUUAUGCAUGUUUUUGAAAUAUUAAGGGAGAGCUUUCGAAUUAUCUAAAUCAAAUAUUCAGGGGGAGUUUUUGUUUUGAAUUUGAUUUAUAAGUUGAAGUCAUGUAUGCCAUGUAUUGAGGGGGAGUUUAAUGUCAAAAUACAUGAGAUGUUUGUCAUCAUCAAAAGGGGGAGAUUUUGUGGAUUUAAGUAAUUUGGACUUAAAUGCUAAGAUUUUAAAUCUUUGAUUUUAAAUAAGUAUUAAAUUUCAGAGUUGGACGUUUUUAUAAAUAUUUGAAAUGUUUUGGGCCAUACUAUAAUUUAUGAAUAUUUUGGACAAAAGUGAAAGGUUUUGAGAACUUUGAAAAAUAUGGGUAUUAUGUUGAAAAUGACCUUUGUGCGUAAUAAUAAAAUCUUUGGGGCCAUAGCAUAAUUUCAUAAAGUUUGGGAAAGACAACUACUUUUAAGAAGUUCUGAAAUUGGACCUAUUUGCAAAGUUUUAAGACGAUUUGAGAUAUAGUAUAAUUAUAAAAAGUUUUGGGCCAAAAUGUAAUUUUAGUGAACAGUGUUACUGUAGCAAAAUUCAAAAAUAACGGUAAUAUCACUUUUCCUGAGCGGCUGGUCAGAUAAUCAAGCGGCUAACGGCUUGAGCGCUGGAAUUUGCCUAUAACGGCUAGUUUUUGGUCUUUUACUAUAAAAACUCAACUCAAACUUCAUUUUAAGAACCAAUGCACGCAAAUAUAAGAUCAUACAACAUAUAUUGAGCUUCCAAAACGCAAAUCAUUAUUGAUUGAAUCAUUGUUGAGCUAUUAGUUGCAUAUCCACUCUUAAAGAGAGUUUUUGCUGUAAUUUUCAUUUCUUAUCAAAUUGUGAGUGUGUUAGUGUGGGAAACACUUGGGGUGAAGAGAUUGGGGAGAUAAUCUCUUGGUUGUAAAGGUUCAUUGACACCUUUGAAUUCAAUUGUAAAAACUUGAAGCCUUGGGAGGCUUGGAUAGUGAAAUCCUCGAGCUUGGUUGGCUUGGAGGCGUGGACGUAGGCGGGGAUUGCCGAACCACGUAAAACUCCGCGUGUUUCUUUUUCUCUUCCCUUGCUCUUUUAUUUUUAUGCUUGUUUGAUUUUAUUGUUCUAUAUUUCAUUAAGGUGUUAAAUUGAUUUAUUGUGCGAAUCGUAUUGCAUUAUUUUUAAAAACCCAAUUCACCCCCCCUCUUGGGUUGUGUUACUUGCAUUUCAUCUCGUAACCACGUCAUUCUCGUUUUCUAGGUAUAUUGGCUGGAAACCCGAGCAUGCGGACUAUUGGUCUAAAGGAUAACUCUGUUAUCGUUGCUCUGGUAUAACAACGCCACGUACUUAAAACAACGGAGCUCAAGGCCAAUAUGAUCAUGACAUGUUGUUUUCUAGAAGUUGGUGAGCUUCCAUACCUUCAAUUAAUGAAUUUUUCUAAGUUAUAGGAUAAAAAACUCUUAUGUCAGCAACAAAAUAGAGCAAUUUAUUAUAUUUUAUGUAUUCUAAUUUCAUAGUUUAUUACACUUGUACAAGAUCAUGUAUAUUCUUGUUACUAUGUAAUGCAGUAGAUUAACAUAGAAAACUAAAAAUGCCUAGGUCAGUGGUUUCUCAUAAUUUGUCAUCAACUAAAGUAAGAAGAAGCUAUUCGCUUAAGACACUAGGUUGGGGUAUCUUUUUUUUUUUUUAUUGGUUUGAAUUUGGUGGUGAAACACUAGUGAUAGGAUUUAUGCUAUGUUUGUUAUAACUCUUCAAUUUUGGCUUGCGAUAAAGAAGUUUCAUUAAAUAUCUUGCCUUUUUCAAUUCAUUUUAAAAUUGACUGAAAUAAGGGGUUAUAGUGGUAGAUAUUCAUUAAUAUUAAUGAAAUGCUAAUAAUCAUAUUUGAAUUGGUCACAUUAGGAUCUUUAGUCUUAUGUUCUAGUAAAAAAUAUAUAAAUUAUUUAGUUGUAAAAGCAUAAAUAAAUAUUUGAUAACAAAUUGUCAAUAUCUUUUCUAGAUUAGAGAUAUUAGUAUUAGUCAUAAUGUCCAACAUGUAUUUUAUCACAUAAUAUCUACAAUGGUCAACAAUUUUUGAGUUAAUGAGGACGUUACAAAAGAGAACGUAAUAGAUUUAUGUUAUACAAUGAAAAAAAUUCAUGUAUCAAUGGAUUAAAUAUCUUAUAUAAAACUAUUAUGAAUUUGAAUUUAAGACUAAUAUCCUUACUUUGAUUGUUUUCUGCAUGCAAUUUUUCCAAUUAAUUUUUUCAUGUGUUGCACUAAACAUUCUCAAUGAACUUAGUUUCAAAAUUAAAAAGCAUAUAUUCAAGACUUAUCUAUCUAAUAUAAAUAAAAUACUAACUAAAUAGCACAAUUUCAAUAAACUUACCAAUUAAUAAGCUCUUUUAGGUUUUGAUGCGGAUCAUGGCUAGUUGAAUCAAAAAAAUAACUUUAGUCUUCAUAUGAGUCAAUAAUAUCCAACAUCCAAUGCACUUAGUGCACAAAAUACUUAUCAUUCCAAGUUUCAAAUAGCUCUUAACACCAUCUUCAUAUAUUGUAAACUCAAAAACAAUAAAUUGACGCUUGAAGUUUCACUAACUACCUCGUAACCAAAUGUGCGUGGAUGUUCCCAUGAAAAAAUUGUACCUCUUUAUUGCCAAAAAAUAAAAGGGAAUUAGUUUGGACAUAAGAGUGAAUAACAAAAUAAAUAAACAAAAAAACAACAGCAGCUGUAAUUUUUUAGGUGUCAGUUAGCUAUUGUAUAGCAACUAAAAUAGAACCUAUAUAUCUUAGGUAAAAUAUCAAAUGUACAAUAUGAUAGCAGCCAAAAAAUUUUAAGUGCUGUCUAGCUAGUAACUCAUAACUAAAAUAGCAAACCUGCAUCAUAACAGCACCCAGCUGCUACAUUUGUGUUAAAUUAGUACUUGGAAGUUCCAAGUAUAGUUUUAACAAUAUUGCAGUAGCAUGAUAGCACCAAAAAAUUCUUUAGGUACUAAUUAAUAGCUAGUUUGCAGCUAAAAUAGGACCUGAAAGUUGAAGGUGCUAUCGCAACCACAAUGCAACAGCUUUAUAGACCCAAAAAUUACUUCACUGCUGUUUAACUAUUGUUUUAUGGCUAAAAUAGCCUUGGAAAUUCUAAGUGCUGUCUAAAUUGCAAUAGUGCAGCAAGACAACACAUAAAAUUUGUAGAUGCUAUCUUGCUAUUGUUUCAAUCGCAAACUACACCUAGAAAUUAGUGUCUAAAAAUAUUUUAUGCAGAACAAUUGCAAAACAAAUUCUACGCUCCCCGUAAAAUAAUAUUAAUAAAUGAAGUAAUUAAUCUUUAAGAUAUAACUUUUGUAUGAAGUAUCAAAUCCAAACUACAUAUGAAGAAGUUCACUAUCCAUGGGCCUUUUACCUCCACGAGGCAUUGCUCCGUCAGGCUUUUGCCUAUUGUAAAAAGUUCCCCACUUGUGCUUCUCGCUUCCCGUAGAAGUCAGAACCUUGUCUCAGUCUCAGUAUAUAUGAAGUAUCAAAUCAAUCCAUAUAUGAAAAUCUCUCAAAACACAUCCAUAAGUUGUCAAAACUUAACUUAUAUAGCAUAGCUCAACCAAAAUAAGAUAAUGAUAAAGGAAAUUUGAACAUUAAUACCUUCUUGUAAGUCUUUUCACUACUAGAAAAAAAGGCUUUUAUGAUGGUUAUUACUUAUUGUUGAGUGUUAGAACAUGUAUAUUUAUAAAGGAGAAAAUCGUCAUUUUACACUUUAAGUUUUACUAACACCCUUACUUUUAUGUAUUUAACCUUCUUGUGAUUUAAUUACGUGUGUUUUAUUUUAAUUAAGUAUUUUAUGUAUUUUAGGGGCAUCAUGGUCAUUUCACAAUGAACAAGAAAUCAGAUGGCAAAAUGGACAUCACUUUUGAACUCAGGACAAUCGAAAACCUUAGGAGGAGUAUAAAAAGAAAAAUGUCACUGUUCACAUGUACGAUCCUAUUCACAUGUACGGUAUUGUCUACAUUACUGUUCAGACAUUGUUCACAUAGAUGGACCGAUGAUGUGGCAUUGACUGAUGAGGUGUUACGAUUUCAUUAGAGAAAAUUCUUAUGCAUUGUUGAUUGGUGGCGUGGCAGCAUGUUAGUGGACAAAAAAUUACGCGUACGGUAAAUGCACAUACACAGGAUUAUUUUCAACCAAACUGCAUCACUGUUCAAGCCGGUUGACUUUUCAAACUGCGUACUGUUGACUGAUGAUGUGGCGCAAUCCUGAGCGUCCAAACUGUUUUUAUUCCGAUGGCUAUGAUUUACUCAAUGUAUCUACAAAAAAAGGGUCUCUGCCCCCUAAUUUGGCAUCUCUGAAUUCAUUUUUGGGCUCUAUUUUCUAUAAUUCCUUCUCCAUCUUACAUUUUCUACGUAUUUUAAAAAAUUCCUAUUUUUCCCCUAGUUCAAUUAUGAGUAGUUAAUUUUAUUUCAAGCUUGGGUUCAAGGUGAAGUCUCAACAUGUGUCGUGGGCUUUAUUUGGUAAAUUUAUUUUCUCAUCCCCUCUAGUUUUUGUGGAUGUUUUGGCUUCUCGUCGACAAGUAAUAAUAAUCUUGUCUAGAUACCGCCCUGGUUUCACUGGCUCCCUAGUACAAGGUUAUUAUUAUUUGGCACGAUAAGCCCUUAGCACCGUAUUGAUGGGCACCCUAAAGUAUUUAAGGAUCUGCGUGAUGAAAUUUCCAUAUGGAAAAGCAUGACUGAUCAAGUUAGGUAUGGAAAGCAUGGUGCGUAUAAUAAUGUACUCGAGGUUAAUCGGACGAUGCCUGAGGAUAGAAUCAAUCAAAGCAACAUCCAUGUGGGUAACAUCAUCUAAGUGCGCCGACCUAGGAAGGACAAUAUUCUGGAUUAAACGAUGUAAAAUACAGGAUUAGAAGCAUAGACAAUGAGCACGGAAAUGGAUUGUACAGACCUCAUCAGAAGGAUCAAUGCGCCUACAAAUGUUUCUAACAGCAUCAACAUGAACAAAGUUAUCAAUCGUAGGAGCUUUCCUAGCAGAAUAUAUUUCUAACCCAUCUUCGGAGGAACGUAGGAUAGAAUUCAACUUUGUAUCAUCAAAUUCAAUCAAAACUCCUCCAACAUUGGUGAUUACUUGAUUCUCUUUCUCCGCGGAAGUAUCCAUAUUCGAGUAAAAUACUUUCACCAAGUCAGAAUACACAUUCUCAUUAAUUGUAAGGGCAUUAAUCCAACCAACUUCCUCCAAAAAUUGCCCAUGGUGCAUGUUGAUACGAAUCUAGAUACCCAAGUGCGUCAUUUCAAUAGAUUUCACUUCAAUUCAUUUCCGCCAUUUUAAUUCAAAUUUUAGGAUAAUCUAAAUUACUUUCGCCACAAAUCCAACCACCUAUUUAGGAAAAUUAAUUCUACACACAAUUAAAAUCCACCUCCUCGUGGGAUCGACACUCGUCACCAUUGAUCUAUCCUACAAUAGAUUCAUGCACUUGCGAGUUUAAUAAAAUUCACACAACAAGUUUUUGGCGCCGUUACCAGGGAGGUAAGUUAUUUUAAUUCGUAGAAUUAAUUUUUGUGAAUAAUUUCUUUUAAUUGUUUUCUUGUAAUUUUUUUAUUAAAAAAAGAAAAAAAGUGAAUCUACAUUUAGAGGUAAGAAUUUCUUUUCUUUUUCUCUUCUUUAAAAUUCUGUAAUUUAUUUUUUAUUUAUUUUUCUUUGUAAUUUUUUUUGUUUAUCUUAUUAAUUUAUUUUUAGUUAAUUUAUUUCAUGUAUUUGUUUUAGUGUAUUUUUAUAGAAAGGUUGCAACAGCGUGAUAAGGUUCGUACCGUAAUUUCUCCUUCUUCUUUAUUUUUAUUUAUUUUGGUUUCAUUUUUUUUUGUAUUCUUUGCAUGCAUGGUCGAAGGUCAUUAUUACCUAAUCUUGAGCCUAUAGACGUUGAAUAGAAAAAACAUUGCGCACACACAAACACACUAAAGAUAAAAUUGAAAUGGAUUUGUAAUAACAACAAGCACCACAGGAGAGGCCAUUUAAGGACUACUUCAGUCCCUUAGCUAAUUUAAGCACAUCAUGCAUAAGAUACCAAAAUGUAGCUGCUAGGAGUUUUGAACUAAAACCUAGUGUGCUAAAUUGUCUCCCAACAUUCUAUGGCUUAGAAAAUGAGGACCCAUAUAAUCAUCUAAAUGAUUUUCAUGCUGUUUCUCAAACUUUUAAAUAUGAGAAUUUUUCAGAAGAUGAUGUUAAACUUAGAUUAUUCCCAUUUUCUUUAAAAGAUAGAGCUCGUUCAUGGCUCAAUACAUUACCUGCCAAUAGCAUCACAUCAUGGGAACAAAUGGUAACUAAAUUUUUGAAUAAAUAUUUCCUAGUGCAUAAAACCAAUGUUAUUCACAGGGAAAUCUCAGAGUUUACCCAAAGAGAAGAUGAGCAGUUUUUCAAAAUAUGGGAGCGAUUCAAUGGGCUACUCUUGAAGUGUCCACAUCAUGGGUACGAGAAAUGGCACCAAUAUCAAUAUUUUUUUAGAAGGAUUAUUGUCGAAUGUGCAAGAAUGGAUAAUGGCAACAAGUGGAGGAGAGCUAAUGUCAAAAAGUGCAUCAGAGAUUUGGGAAUUCUUCUAGCGACAAGCCGAUAAUUCCCAACAAUGGAGUCGGUCACUCAAGAAUACUAAAAGAAUUAAAGGAGUGAAUGAGGUUCACAUUGGCGAGUCAUCUUCAGGAAUCAAAGAAGUCAAGGAGAUGGUUGAAGGUCUCUCUCGACAAAUAGCAUCGUUAUCGACUGCUAAAUCAACAGAACCACAUGACCAUGACUCAUAUCCAGAUCAAGCCAAUGCCAUAGGUGUAAUGAGAAAGCUAUCAAAUUAUGGAGAGGACACCGAAAUAAAUUUGAGUGACCCACCAGAUUUGAAUUGAGUUUUUUUCUUUCUUUUCGAUGAUUUGAUUUUUUUUUCUUUUUAUUAUUUUUUUACUAAUUGAAAUUAUUUUUGCAUAAGGGUGUUUGUUUAACCAUUAAGUUUUCUCUUAUCAUUUUUAAUCAUGAGUGCCAUAGCUAAACAGUUCCUCCUGGACAUUCUUAAACCACUUCAACGUGGAAAAUCUCAUCUCAAAAGGCAGAUUCGAUUUUGUAAAACACAUCAUAUUUGGGCUCUGCAACCACUAGAGUUAGUAUCCUAUGUUGAGGAUUUAGAAAGCCAACUCAGAGACAUUGAGAGAAGUGUCUACAACAUCUAGUUGGAGCUUGAGGUAAAUUCAAUAAGAAGACGAUUGUAAUUUUUUUGUGUUUUAGUUUGUUUUUCUUUAUUUGUGUGCUUUAGUUUGUUACCCUGGUGAAGUGGCGGAUAACGGUACUCCGUGACAAUCAAGUCAGUGACUUCAGUUUCCCUUAAUAACUGAUAUUCUGAGGUGAAGGUAUGGACAGAAACGAGAUUCUAGCAAAGCCUCACAAUUAACUCCCUUGACUUCCUCAGAAUGCCCUCCUUACAAUCUAUAAAGCUCGGUCCGAACGCAUGAGAUUGCUCAUGAGGAAUAACAUACCUACUGACAUACGUUGGUUAAUCAAGGCUAAAUUACGAUUGGCAGGUGAGUUACUUCUAAAAUUUAUUGCAUACAUGCCUAGUUGUGAUAAAGGAAAUUAUGCAAGAAAACGAAGAGCUCGAAGAAUUUCUGUUGGUUAUCAUAAAUGUGCUAGAAUGGGAUGCAAUAAAAACCCAUGUUCUUUAGGAAUGUUGUCUGAUAACAGGGAAGAUAAGAUUCAAUUCAUUAGGGAUGGCUUGAACAAGGAGUCAUUGGAUGAUAUCCUUUUGUCUCUUGAAACGCAUCCCAGUGGACAUGUGCAAGGAGUGAUUCUCCAGUUAUAGCCAUUAUUCCAGAAAGAGCAUGCACAAUAUAGUCUCGGGAAUCUGACUAUAAACGACCAUGUUUGCCAGUUUAUAAGAAAACUGGAUGGGAAGGCUAUCCUCGACCCAUAGAGGGCGUUCGAGCCGUUUAUGGACAUAAAACCAGAGGAAGAUGUGAGCCACAGUCGCAACUACUUGUAAAUAUCAUUUUACUUCACUGUUACGUAUUUCACUGUUGUUUUAUCAUUUGCAUUAUUGUCUUUAAUAAUUUUAUUUUAUCAUUAUUUCUUUUUCUUUUUACUGUUUCAUUUUUUACUCGCGAGCCAUAUGUUUUACGCGUUAUUAGACACUGACAUGCCACCUCAUAUACAGUUGUGACCCACUGUCACCAAGAUCUUAAAUAUGACUUUUUGUUAAGUACUCACAAAUUGUUUUUGAGAAAUAUUCCAAUGGUAGCUACUCCCAAUAGACAAUUCAAGAACAUUUGUGUGCUUUCUGAAUUUAACUAUGACAAACAUAAAGAGUUUGUUGAGGCAACCAUAGAUCUUGGUCGAAACAUAGCAGAGAGAAAAUUACACUUGGUGUAUGGAGGAGGUAACCGAGGGUUAUCAAAAUUGGUCUCAGAAGCUACUUUUGUCAGAGGAAGCCAAGUGUUAGGCAUUAUCCCAAGAACCCUAAAACCUUUGGGCAGUUUGUCUUACCCACCGACUGAAGAAGAGUUAGUCGUCUCAGGUAUGCAAGAAAGAAUAACUAAAAUGCAUAAUCAUGCUGAUGCUUUUAUUUUCCUUCCAGGAGAUCUUGCAACACUAGAGGCACUUAUCACACUAGCAUCUUGGGCCCAUCUGCACAUUCACUAGAAACCCAUCGGUUUGUUAAAUGUCAAUAAUUUUUAUGAUGGCUUUAUCGCAUUUCUUAACCAUGCAAUAAAAAACUAUUUCAUUCAUUCCACAGCAAAAAAACUUUUUAUUUGUGGUCACACUGCUAAUGAGCUACUUGAUCUGUUACAAGCUUAUAAACCGGAGCCAGACCCCUGGACCUUUGUGUUGGAGCGUCCAAAUAAUGAUGGUAACAGUAGCGGCAAUAAGAAGUACAAAUUAGAUUUAACUCUCCGCUUGUAAAUAUUUUCUUCUGUAUUGCACCACCCAGGUGAUGUCUUCUAAACUCUAUUUCUUUCCUUUAAAACAUUGAGGACAAUGUUUCGUUCUGGUUGGGGGGAGGGAAUAGUCGACAAUUGUGAAAUCUUGGUUAAGUUUUUUCUAAUUUUUUGUUGUAAAGACUAAUCGUGGUAACUUUU